AAAUAUUUUAUAUAAAUAAUGCGGUUAUAAAUUAUACCGGUACCAAUUUUAAUAAAAGCGGGCGUAAAGGGAACGCGAACGUUUUUUUGGGCAAAACCUACCGCAAAACCAAUUUUAAAAAAUAUAAUAAAAAUAACAAAAAUCGAUUUAAUAUAAAAAAAUCGCGACCAAAACACAAAAAUAACGCGUAUAAAAAAUUAACGAAAUUUCGUAUCGGAAAAUAAAAAAAAAAAAAAAAAAAAUUUAAUUGAAAAUUUUUUCGUCAAAAAUUAAAAAGGUAAUUAACGUUUAAACCAGGUGGGGUUUACGAAUUGUUAACGUUAUAACCCAUUAUUUGUAACCCAAUACCGCCGUUUAUUAAUGGAAACCUACGCGAAACAAUUGCGUUUUAUUUGCGUUUAUUAAAAAUUACCCCGUUUUAUAUUUAAAAUUGCUAUUUAAAACGAAAACGCCCUUAUUAAAAAAGGGAUAAUUAUUACGUGCAAAUUUAUUAGUAUUUAAAUGCUAACGUACAAUUUUAGAGGCUGGGUUUUGUUAAAUUUGUAAAUUCGCGUUACGUAAACGCAAUAGGAACGCCGCUUAUAAAUAAAGGUUUUUAAAUCCUAAAAAUAGCAAAUUAAUCCUAAAUCCUUAAAAAUCAGUUUUUAAUCCAAAUGUUAUUAUUCUAAUGCUGUCGUGGAUUAUUAUACGCUAUAUUAUUACCCUAUAUAUUAUUAAUUACCGUGUACCUAACCUGUACCCAGUCCACGGUUGUAAUAAAAUCCCAAAUAUAAACGGCCGAAAAUAUAUUUUUUUAACUUAUAUUUUUAAAACGGACGAAAAAAAUAAAAAUUUUAUUCCAAACCAAUGCGCCGAAAUUAGUUAUAUUUUUAAUUUUAUUAAUUAUUGGUAUUAUAAUAAUUACACCCCGGUUAAUAUAAAAAAUAAAAUAAAAUAAACGGUACGUUAUAAAUUUUCGGUAACGGAAAUAUUAUAUUUCGUUUCCAAUUACCCGCUAAAAAAAUAUACCGGCCGGAAAAUAUAAUACCAGCUGUUUAAUUUAUUUGGUAUUAUUACCUAUAAAAAAAU
rnacentral:sRNA from 1 species